GACGAACGCNGGCGGCGUGCCUAAUACAUGCAAGUAGAACGCUGAAGAGAGGAGCUUGCUCUUCUUGGAUGAGUUGCGAACGGGUGAGUAACGCGUAGGUAACCUGCCUGGUAGCGGGGGAUAACUAUUGGAAACGAUAGCUAAUACCGCAUAAAAUUGAUUAUUGCAUGAUAAUUAAUUGAAAGAUGCAAUUGCAUCACUACCAGAUGGACCUGCGUUGUAUUAGCUAGUUGGUGAGGUAACGGCUCACCAAGGCGACGAUACAUAGCCGACCUGAGAGGGUGAUCGGCCACACUGGGACUGAGACACGGCCCAGACUCCUACGGGAGGCAGCAGUAGGGAAUCUUCGGCAAUGGGGGGAACCCUGACCGAGCAACGCCGCGUGAGUGAAGAAGGUUUUCGGAUCGUAAAGCUCUGUUGUAAGAGAAGAACGGGUGUGAGAGUGGAAAGUUCACACUGNGACGG
rnacentral:rRNA from 1 species